UAGUUUGAAUUUUUAGAAAUCAGUUUUAGAGAGAUUUAUUUUUGUGUAUAUGUGGGGGGUAGGUAUGUGCGCCUGAGUGUGCAUGCCCAGUAAGGCCAGAAAAGGGAAUGCCAUCCCCUGAAGCAGAGAUUAACUGGUGGUUAUGAGACACCAGGCGGGCGCUGGGAACUGGAUCCAGCUCCUCCAAGAGAGCAGUAGACGUUCUUAACUACUAAGCCAUCUCUCUAGCCCCAAGGCUGUUUAAAUUUUUGUCUUUUUCAUAAUAAAGCAUUUUGAGGUGAGAGAGUCUGCUCGAUGGUUAAGACCACUUGCUGCUCUUACAGAGGACCAGGGUUUGACUCCCGCCCACAUAGCAGCGCACAACCAUUUGUAACCCCAGUCCCAGAGUAUCCAAAACCUUCCUCUGACCUCUGUGAGCACUAGGGACACACGUGGAUGCAGACACUAGUCACAUAGGUGCAGGAAAAACACUCCUACAUAUACAAUAAACUUUUUUCUGAUACAGGGUCUCACCACAGAACUGACGUGGAUCUCACUAUGUAGGUUAGGCUGGCCCUCCAACUCAUUGAGAUCUGCCUACCUCUGCCUUUGCCGGGAUCAAAGGCAUGUAGUGUGCCACCAUACUCAGCAAAUAAACCUAAAGAAAAAGCGAAGAUUGCAAAUCUAGUAUACCACUGCAGCAUUUUAACUGACCAAAUAGAUGUCGUCCACGAUCAUCAUUUUUGAAAUUUCAUCUUCUUGAGGAGAUGUGUGUGCCUUGUCACACGGGUGGAGAGCAGAUCACAGGACAGCUUUCAGUGUGAUACCUGAACCGUGGUCCUGAAAACUCUUGCCAAAGCAGUCUUGCAAACCAAAUCGCCAUUUUCAAGUGCAGGCUGAACAAAUGCUCUGGCAUCUGCUGGAGUAACCCUUUGAGCUUUCCAGUAUCUCGGUAUUUUACCUGGGCACAUUUAUUUAGAAACUUUUUUGCGUUAAGCAGAAAGGCCAAUCAUUUGCUUAAUUUACUAAGUACUUAUAAUGUGCAAAGCCUUAAGGAGUGGAUAAAUGCCUACUCAUGGCCAGUAAAGAGAAGAAAGCGGCUUAAAGCAGUUUUGGUCUUUAUAAGUGUAUUGAUUAAUGUAGUCAGUCAGUUUAUUAUGCAUGGCUAAGUAUUGUUCUUCUGACUUAGAAUGUAAUGUAUCCGCAAAUAAAAUGCAACCAUCUAAGCCCUCAGGGAAUUUAUACUUAAAAGGAGGAAGGCGGAUGAUGAAGACACAGCAUCAAGUUAUGAUAAGAAAUGAUAAAUGCUAUAGGAAAAGGAAAAUAGCAAUUUAUGAGGAUUUCUGGAUGAUGGGGAAGGGGUAGCCAGGAACUCACAGUUUAACUAGUGCGGCCAAGGUUGAGCUCAAGAGGGAACAAGUCUGAGCAGCUACUGGAAGGGGGAAAGUCCAAGCUGCGGGGGCGUGGGGGGAGGAUUAGGAUGACAGAAUCGUUUCCAGAGCAGAUGGCCCCAGUGUGUUGGAUGCCUGGGUACGGAAAACAGCAAGUAGCAAAAAGCAGAACCAAUUGUAUAAGAUGACAUCAGAAAGAUGGCAGUGGGUACCCAAGGCCCCGUGAGGCUGUCACAUGAGAAUCACUGGAGAGUUGGAGCCACACAGUGCCCAGCUCAGCUGGCAUUUAUGAAGACAGCUCUGGCUUUCAUGCAGAGGGCAGAUGGAAGAGAAGGUGGGGCGGCAAGAACACAUUUUAGGAGACAUUGAAAUAAUACGACCAGGAGGUGUCAAAUAAAUUUGCCUAUUCAUAUAUACAA